rnacentral:rRNA from 1 species
GACGAACGCUGGCGGCGUGCUUAACACAUGCAAGUCGAACGGACAGGCCCUGCUUUUGUGGGGUGCUCGAGUGGCGAACGGGUGAGUAAAACGUGAGUAACCUGCCCUUGACUUUGGGAUAACUUCAGGAAAAUGGGGCUAAUACCGGAUAGGAGCUCCUGCUGCAUGGUGGGGGUUGGAAAGUUUCGGCGGUUGGGGCUGGAAUCGAGGCUUAUCAGCUUGUUGGUGGGGUAGUGGCUUACAAAGGCUUUGAAGGGUAGCCGGCCUGAGAGGGUGACCGGCCACAUUGGUACUGAGAUACGGCCCAGACGCCUAUGGGAGGCAGCAGUGGAGAAUAUUGCACAAUGGGCGGAAGCCUGAGGCAGCAACGCCGCGUGCGGGAUGACGGCCUUCGGGGUGUGAACCGCUUUGGCCUGUGACGAAGCGUGAGUGACGGUAAUGGGUAAAGAAGCACCGGCUAACUACGUG